GACGAACGCUGGCGGCGUGCUUAACACAUACAAGUCGAACGGAAAUGCCCUGCUUUUGUGGGGUUCUCGAGUGGCGAACGGGUGCGUAACACGUGAGUAACCUGCCCUUGACUUUGGGAUAACUUCAGGAAACUGGGGCUAAUACCGGAUAGGAGCUCCUGCUGCAUGGUGGGGGUUGGAAAGUUUCGGCGGUUGGGGAUGGACUCGCGGCUUAUCAGCUUGUUGGUGGGGUAGUGGCUUACCAAGGCUUUGACGGGUAGCCGGCCUGAGAGGGUGACCGGCCACAUUGGGACUGAGAUACGGCCCAGACUCCUACGGGAGGCAGCAGUGGGGAAUAUUGCACAAUGGGCGGAAGCCUGAUGCAGCAACGCCGCGUGCGGGAUGACGGCCUUCGGGUUGUAAACCGCUUUCGCCUGUGACGAAGCGUGAGUGACGGUAAUGGGUAAAGAAGCACCGGCUAACUACGUG
rnacentral:rRNA from 1 species